UAGGGAAUCUUCCGCAAUGGGCGAAAGCCUGACGGAGCAACGCCGCGUGAGUGAUGAAGGUCUUCGGAUCGUAAAACUCUGUUAUUAGGGAAGAACAAAUGUGUAAGUAACUAUGCACGUCUUGACGGUACCUAAUCAGAAAGCCACGGCUAACUACGUGCCAGCAGCCGCGGUAAUACGUAGGUGGCAAGCGUUAUCCGGAAUUAUUGGGCGUAAAGCGCGCGUAGGCGGUUUUUUAAGUCUGAUGUGAAAGCCCACGGCUCAACUGUGGAGGGUCAUUUGAAACUGGAAAACUUGAGUGCAGAAGAGGAAAGUGGAAUUCCAUGUGUAGCGGUGAAAUGCGCAGAGAUAUGGAGGAACACCAGUGGCGAAGGCGACUUUCUGGUCUGUAACUGACGCUGAUGUGCGAAAGCGUGGGGAUCAAACAGG
rnacentral:rRNA from 1 species